rnacentral:rRNA from 1 species
UACGUAGGGUGCGAGCGUUGUCCGGAAUUAUUGGGCGUAAAGGGCUCGUAGGCGGUCUGUCACGUCGGGAGUGAAAACCCAGGGCUCAACCCUGGGCCUGCUUCCGAUACGGGCAGACUAGAGGUAUGCAGGGGAGAAUGGAAUUCCUGGUGUAGCGGUGAAAUGCGCAGAUAUCAGGAGGAACACCGGUGGCGAAGGCGGAUCUCUGGGCCGAUACUGACGCUGAGGAGCGAAAGCGUGGGGAGCGAACAGG